GUCCCUUCGGGGACAUCCGAUAAAAUUGGAACAAUACAAAGAAUAUUAGCAUGGCCUCUGCGCAAGGAUGACACGUAUAAAUUGAGAAAUUGUCCCAAUUUUU
rnacentral:snRNA from 1 species